CCUACGGGAGGCCGCAGUGAGGAAUAUUGGUCAAUGGACGCAAGUCUGAACCAGCCAUGCCGCGUGCAGGAAGACGGCUCUAUGAAUUGUACACUGCUUUUGUACGAGGGUAAACGCAGAUACGCGUCUCUGUCUGAAAGUAUCGUACGAAUAAGCAUCGGCUAACUCCGUGCCAGCAGCCGCGGUAAUACGGAGGAUUCAAGCGUUAUCCGGAUUUAUUGGGUUUAAAGGGUGCGUAGGCGGUAAGAUAAGUUAGAGGGGAAAUCCCAAGGCUCAACUUCGGAAUUGCCUGUGAUACUGUUCGGCUAGAGAGUAGUUGAGGUAGGCGGAAGGUAUGGUGUAGCGGUGAAAUGCUUAGAGAUCAUACAGAACACCGAUUGCGAAGGCAGCUUAC
rnacentral:rRNA from 1 species